rnacentral:miRNA from 1 species
AAGGUGCCCCGCGCCAGCAUUG